rnacentral:rRNA from 1 species
UACGAAGGGGGCUAGCGUUGCUCGGAAUCACUGGGCGUAAAGGAUGCGUAGGCGGACAUUUAAGUCAGAUGUGAAAUACCCGAGCUUAACUUGGGUGCUGCAUUUGAAACUGGGUGUCUAGAGUGCAGGAGAGGUAAGUGGAAUUCCUAGUGUAGCGGUGAAAUGCGUAGAGAUUAGGAAGAACACCAGUGGCGAAGGCGACUUACUGGACUGUAACUGACGCUGAGGCAUGAAAGCGUGGGGAGCAAACAGG